rnacentral:rRNA from 1 species
AGUGAACGCUGGCGGUAGGCCUAACACAUGCAAGUCGAACGGCAGCACAGUAAGAGCUUGCUCUUACGGGUGGCGAGUGGCGGACGGGUGAGGAAUACAUCGGAAUCUACUUUUUCGUGGGGGAUAACGUAGGGAAACUACGCUAAUACCGCAUACGACCUACGGGUGAAAGCAGGGGAUCUUCGGACCUUGCGCGAUUGAAUGAGCCGAUGUCGGAUUAGCGAGUUGGCGGGGUAAAGGCCCACCAAGGCGACGAUCCGUAGCUGGUCUGAGAGGAGGAUCAGCCACACUGGAACUGAGACACGGUCCAGACUCCUACGGGAGGCAGCAGUGGGGAAUAUUGGACAAUGGGCGCAAGCCUGAUCCAGCCAUACCGCGUGGGUGAAGAAGGCCUUCGGGUUGUAAAGCCCUUUUGUUGGGAAAGAAAAGCAGCAGGUUAAUACCCCGCUGUUCUGACGGUACCCAAAGAAUAAGCACCGGCUAACUUCGUG